rnacentral:rRNA from 1 species
AGAGUUUGAUCCUGGCUCAGGAUGAACGCUGGCGGCGUGCUUAACACAUGCAAGUCGAACGAUUGAAGCUGGAGCUUGCUCCGGCCGAUUUAGUGGCGGACGGGUGAGUAACGCGUGGGUAACCUGCCUCAUACAGGGGGAUAGCAGUUGGAAACGACUGGUAAAACCGCAUAAGCGCACGGUGUCGCAUGACACAGUGUGAAAACACUCCGGUGGUAUGAGAUGGACCCGCGUCUGAUUAGCUAGUUGGUGAGGUAACGGCCCACCAAGGCGACGAUCAGUAGCCGGCCUGAGAGGGUGAACGGCCACAUUGGGACUGAGACACGGCCCAAACUCCUACGGGAGGCAGCAGUGGGGAAUAUUGCACAAUGGGGGAAACCCUGAUGCAGCGACGCCGCGUGAGCGAAGAAGUAUUUCGGUAUGUAAAGCUCUAUCAGCAGGGAAGAAGAAUGACGGUACCUGACUAAGAAGCACCGGCUAAAUACGUGCCAGCAGCCGCGGUAAUACGUAUGGUGCAAGCGUUAUCCGGAUUUACUGGGUGUAAAGGGAGCGCAGGCGGUGCGGCAAGUCUGAUGUGAAAGCCCGGGGCUCAACCCCGGUACUGCAUUGGAAACUGUCGUACUAGAGUGUCGGAGGGGUAAGUGGAAUUCCUAGUGUAGCGGUGAAAUGCGUAGAUAUUAGGAGGAACACCAGUGGCGAAGGCGGCUUACUGGACGAUAACUGACGCUGAGGCUCGAAAGCGUGGGGAGCAAACAGGAUUAGAUACCCUGGUAGUCCACGCCGUAAACG